UGAUUACUUGAGCCUUCAGCGAGCUCCCUGCUCCACCUGAGGAGAAGCUUCACGAUUCAGCCACCGAGGAGAAGCAUGAGGCAGCUGGCUCUAGGGGAAGAUGUCACAUUUGCACUCCAUCUGGGUGGUGGAUUAGGCCAUCCUCGCUAAGGCCUCCUCAUGACCUGCUGUGAACACCACUACAGAUUGAUGGAUAACAACGAAAAGCUGCAUCAGGAGAAUAUAGGAGAUAAGUAUUCAUGUACUGCGGUGAGUGUAAUCCCCAAAAGCUGAUUUUUAAAUAUCCCAAACAAAUUUAAUCUUUUUCCAAUGCAAGUUUGUUAUGCUGUCCCUGUAGUCCCUGGAAUUCAUGAUGGUUGAACUAUUUUUAGUUGUUUUCAUAUUGCUUCUACAGGUUAUUGUUCCUUGCAGGUAUGAAACUCUGAAACUGAUGUAGUAGGACUAUCUUGUUCUCAACCGAGAGGGUUAUGUGCUUAUGAAGGCAAUUAUAGAUAACACCAAAGUUGAGAUAAUCCAUUGAUAUUUCAGUUA